GGCCUUGUGGUUUAGAGGUAUAAUUCUCGCUUCGGGAAAUUCCAAAACUUCCCGGUCUUCUUCUGAAGAUCUGAAUAUGUGAGAGGUCCCGGGUUCGAAUCCCGGCAAGGCCC
rnacentral:tRNA from 1 species